rnacentral:tRNA from 1 species
GGAGAGAUGUCCGAGAGGCCGAAGGAGCACGCUUGGAAAGUGUGUGUACUCGUGAGGGUACCGUGGGUUCGAAUCCCACUCUCUCCG